GGGGGCGUAGCUCAGCUGGGAGAGCGCUUGACUGGCAGUCAAGAGGUCAGGGGUUCGAUUCCCCUCGUCUCCACCA
rnacentral:tRNA from 13 species